UCCUACCUCUAUCUGAGUAAUUUUAUUUUACAAUAAAAAUACCCAUGCUAGAACUAGUAAUGAGAAAUUUUCUCUCUGCACACCUUUAAGCCAGAAUUGAAAGACUACUGGUAAUUAACAGACCACAAAAGGAUUGACACACACCAACAAGCUGUUCUGUCUCCCAUUCACCUGUUACUCCAACACAGGGGUGCAUUAAAGAAAGACCAACACCUGCAAAAGGAACUCGGCAAAAGUAGUCUCAACUGUUUACCAAAAACAUAGCCUUUAGCCCAACAAGUAUUAAAGGUCCCGCCUGCCCAGUGACUAUUUAACGGCCGCGGUAUCCUAACCGUGCAAAGGUAGCAUAACCACUUGUCCUCUAAAUAAGGACUAGAAUGAACGGCUAAAUGAAGACUAAACUGUCUCUUGCAGAAGGCCAAUGAAACUGAUCUUUCAGUCCAAAAGCUGAGAUAUUAACAUAAGACGAGAAGACCCUGUGGAGCUUUAAACCCUACCCAUUAGACAUGUUCUCCUUCGGUUUUUAGUUGGGGCGACUUCGGAGCAUAAAACAACCUCCGACAAAAUUCUAUCAAGAUCAACAUAUCAAAAUAAUUAUACGACCCAGUAGUUCUUAACCUACUAUCUGAUCAACGAACCAAGUUACCCCAGGGAUAACAGCGCUAUCCCCUUCUAGAGUCCAUAUCGACAAGGGGGCUUACGACCUCGAUGUUGGAUCAAGAUACCCUAAUAGUGCAGCCGCUAUAAGGGUUCGUUUGUUCAACGAUUAUAAUCUA
rnacentral:rRNA from 1 species